GACGAACGUUGGCGGCGUGCUUAACACAUGCAAGUCGAACGGAAAGGCCCUGCUUUUGUGGGGUGCUCGAGUGGCGAACGGGUGAGUAACACGUGAGUAACCUGCCCUUGACUUUGGGAUAACUUCAGGAAACUGGGGCUAAUACCGGAUAGGAGCUCCUGCUGCAUGGUGGGGGUUGGAAAGUUUCGGCGGUUGGGGAUGGACUCGCGGCUUAUCAGCUUGUUGGUGGGGUAGUGGCUUACCAAGGCUUUGACGGGUAGCCGGCCUGAGAGGGUGACCGGCCACAUUGGGACUGAGAUACGGCCCAGACUCCUACGGGAGGCAGCAGUGGGGAAUAUUGCACAAUGGGCGGAAGCCUGAUGCAGCAACGCCGCGUGCGGGAUGACGGCCUUCGGGUUGUAAACCGCUUUCGCCUGUGACGAAGCGUGAGUGACGGUAAUGGGUAAAGAAGCACCGGCUAACUACGUGCCAGCAGCCGCGGUGAUACGUAGGGUGCGAGCGUUGUCCGGAUUUAUUGGGCGUAAAGGGCUCGUAGGUGGUUGAUCGCGUCGGAAGUGUAAUCUUGGGGCUUAACCCUGAGCGUGCUUUCGAUACGGGUUGACUUGAGGAAGGUAGGGGAGAAUGGAAUUCCUGGUGGAGCGGUGGAAUGCGCAGAUAUCAGGAGGAACACCAGUGGCGAAGGCGGUUCUCUGGGCCUUUCCUGACGCUGAGGAGCGAAAGCGUGGGGAGCGAACAGGCUUAGAUACCCUGUAGUCCACGCUGUAAACGGUGGGUACUAGGUGUGGGGUCCAUUCCACGGGUUCCGUGCCGUAGCUAACGCUUUAAGUACCCCGCCUGGGGAGUACGGCCGCAAGGCUAAAACUCAAAGGAAUUGACGGGGCCCCGCACAAGCGGCGGAGCAUGCGGAUUAAUUCGAUGCAACGCGUAGAUCCUUACCUGGGUUUGACAUGGAUCGGGAGUGCUCAGAGAUGGGUGUGCCUCUUUUGGGGUCGGUUCACAGGUGGUGCAUGGCUGUCGUCAGCUCGUGUCGUGAGAUGUUGGGUUAAGUCCCGCAACGAGCGCAACCCUUGUUCACUGUUGCCAGCACGUUAUGGUGGGGACUCAGUGGAGACCGCCGGGGUCAACUCGGAGGAAGGUGGGGAUGACGUCAAGUCAUCAUGCCCCUUAUGUCCAGGGCUUCACGCAUGCUACAAUGGCUGGUACAGAGAGUGGCGAGCCUGUGAGGGUGAGCGAAUCUCGGAAAGCCGGUCUCAGUUCGGAUUGGGGUCUGCAACUCGACCUCACGAAGUCGGAGUCGCUAGUAAUCGCAGAUCAGCAACGCUGCGGUGAAUACGUUCCCGGG
rnacentral:rRNA from 1 species